CGGGGCGUAGCGCAGCCUGGUAGCGCACUACAAUGGGGUUGUAGGGGUCGCGAGUUCGAAUCUCGCCGCCCCGACCA
rnacentral:tRNA from 6 species